rnacentral:snRNA from 2 species
UGCUGUCUUAGGCAGCAAAUAUACUAAAAUUAGAACGAUACAGAGAUUAGCAUGGCCCCUACGCAAGGAUGACAUGUGAAUUUGUGAAGUGUUCCAUAUUUUU